GGGGAUAUAGCUCAGUUGGCUAGAGCGCGUGCAUGGCAUGCACGAGGCCGCCGGUUCGAAUCCGGCUAUCUCCA
rnacentral:tRNA from 1 species